CAGCAGCCGCGGGAAUACGAAGGGGGCUAGCGUUGCUCGGAAUGACUGGGCGUAAAGGGCGCGUAGGCGGCGGCCAAAGUCAGGCGUGAAAUUCCCGGGCUCAACCUGGGGGCUGCGCUUGAUACUUGGUUGCUUGAGUGGGGAAGAGGGUCGUGGAAUUCCCAGUGUAGAGGUGAAAUUCGUAGAUAUUGGGAAGAACACCGGUGGCGAAGGCGGCGACCUGGUCCUUGACUGACGCUGAGGCGCGAAAGCGUGGGGAGCAAACAGGAUUAGAUACCCGCGUAGUCCCUGUCUCUUAUAC
rnacentral:rRNA from 1 species